AGUUCAGGAAGAGGAGGAGCCAGAAAGAGCUGAUCUCUCAGCUCUUUCUGGCUCCUCCUCUUUCCCAU